GAAGAACUUUUUAAGACGCUAAGAGGGUAAACUUGAGAAAUCAUCCUCCUCCUGCUUUAAGAUCCAGAAUCCCAGUAGUCAAAACCGUCGGAGUGUAAGAGACGCAUGGCCUCCCCCUUCAAGAAACCAUCACUCUCCGGUAUGUAUUUUCUUUUGUUUUCUUCAAUCUCACAAUUGAAAUGGUCGAUUGGAUGCCUCAUCAUCAAUUGAAAUCAAUAGAUCAAAACCCUCUGAAUCCCAUAAAAACCACCAUACACACAAUCAAUCAAGAGUGGUGAGGCUUUCUUUGAAGCAUACUCUGGCGCUAUUAGGGCUAAAGUUGAACGUGAAGAAGAACAUGGUGUGAAACAAGUACAUAGCACAUCGAAAUCUUCAGCAAAUUGAAGACAGUCGAUUGUAUCUUAAAAUCACUACUUAGAAAGAUGACUGGUCAAACCAACAAAAGCAGAUUCAAACGUUUGUUAGGGCAUAAGCAAACGAUACUAACAGUGUCAACUUGGUGAAUUAAUCUGCAAGAUUUCUUUGAUGGAAGAACACGGAAUCUUGGGUGUGAGACCCAGAAAACAAUCAGCAGCUCGGAUCAGAGGACAAAAAUGGUUAAAAAGGAGAGAAAUAUGGCUUGUUGCUCUCGGUAUAGCACUUCAUGUUGUUUACAUGCUCAGCAUCUUCGACAUUUACUUCAAAUCUCCUAUUGUUCACGGCAUGGAUCCUGUUUCCCCUCGAUAUACUCUGCCUACAAAGCGCCUCGUGCUUCUUGUAGGUUCGUAUGUUUACACAUUUGUUGUGUAUUUUGAUCGCUAAGGAAGGAUGUUUGAGAGGGAAGAAAGAAAGGAUGUCGAUAUAUCAUUUAUCAGGUGAUGGGUUUGAUUUUAUUUUUUUUACAGUUUUGAUAUUUUUGUUGUGUAUGAUGUUAGGUUUAUGUUUUUUUGGCUGAGAUCAAGUGUAUGAUUAUUAAUAAUUAAAUCCACGCGACGCGACGACUCGAGCUUGGCUUUCUGGUGACUGUACAACAAUAAAAGGACGACAGCUGCGUCGGUAUUGGACAUUUUCAUAUAUUUACUCUCAAUGUUGUUGAACAUAGUAUGUGCAUCUCGAUCUUUGUUCUCGCAUUCGAAUUAUGCGUCAUUUUAGGUCAGUUUUGUUUGUUAAACUCCAAUUUAUUUGUACGGUUAGAACUUAGUUAGGAGUUUUAGUUUAAAAUUAAGAGCUCUUAACUGGUUCAGUAAUUUUGGAUUCCAAUUUAGAAUUAGUAUUUGGGGAUUUCAUCUCAGAUUGAACCAGGUCUAUUAUGAGAUCUAACUACAAUAUAAGAGGGGAUGGGGCACCCUCGGUUAGCGGUGCUCAGCUUCGAAGCCGCAUGCGAAACACUGCCGCCAUCCCCCUCGGGUAGGUGAGCGGCUAGGGGAGCUCCACUACUGCUUUCCUAAGGUGAUGUAGGCUAGGAACUGCGAAAGGACUGGUUUAUCUCCACGAGGACUGUAAGAUCAUUUUGUUCGUUUGCUGGCCACUAUAAGAUCAUUCAUUGGCGGUUCUUACUUGUCGCUUCAUGUGAAAAAAGAAAAAAAGUACAUUAAGUUACAUGGAUGAUGUUCUCGUAAUGCAUGUGAAUUCCUUUGAUUGUCAUUUCAUAUUUCUCGAAUUGUCGUUUCGGUUAUCACAUUUUGUAGUUUGUUCAGUUUUUAUGUGUCGAUAUUAUGAUAUAGGAUCUAGCUUGUCAAGCUGAUUUCAUUUCUUACGUAAAUUUAAAAUUUAUUUUUUUGGUUCUGUUUUGAGCAGUAAGAGAAGCUAGAAAUGAAGGCGUGCGUGGUGGACAUGGCGAUCAUGGGUUCGGACGUGGUGGCUGUCUCGGUCACAUUUUAUGUUUGUGAAUUUCUUAAACAUGUUUCUGUACCUGAACUGUUACAUUUUUUAAUAGACAACAAGGUUCUCUGCUGCAUCAGAUGCUACACGGUUAAAUCAGGCAACUUUUGGAAUGGGUUUGGUUUGGGUGUGCUAAAACACUUUUUGGCAAAGAGCUUUAAGGCAACCGGAAGCAUUGGGACGGUUUGGAGCAUAUACUUCAUAUCUAAUUACUAACGGUAGCAGCAUUUUCUUCUCGAGGCCUGAAUAUAAAAGAUUAUAAAUUUGCCGACGCAGAUUAUUUGAAACUUGAAGCACCAGAUUCUUUGAACUGGCCUUUUUGGUCUCCAAAUGGAACCGAUGAGCCUAAUCAUGAAGGACACGAAUGCUCUAAUGUGUGAUAGUGGAUUAAAUUCAACAAAAAAUGUGAUUUAUCACUUUCAAGCCCGUCUCACUAUUCCUAACCCCUUAAACCAGGCACACACCAGGAUGAAACCUUUAUUGGGUAAGGAAGAGAAGUCACAAGUAGCUGUUGUUUGCAACUUUAGUCUUUACUAACUUAGGGAUAAUGCUACUCACUUGAUCUUGUUGCAACUGGAGUAAUUUUUCAUGAAAGGGUUGUUAUGGAGAAACUUAAAAACAAUGUUAUAGGUGACAAGAUUAUCCAAAAGCUGUACUAAAUUUGGAUUCUGGUCUGGGAGUUUUAAGCCACAUAAUUAUUCUCUAAGUGGGGGUAUUUUGGCCUUUGAGGUUAUGUUGCUUUGUUUAAAUUUUUUUAUAUAAUUAUAUUUUACUUUUUUUGUGACUUUCCAGAUAUGGAUCUUUGAGGUUUUCCAAUACCCUAUGAAGUUUGGUAUCAACAUAACGUGGAAGCGUGCACUAGCAUUUGUCGUGGAUGCCACAAUGGUAUGUAGUAUGUGAGUAUGUACAUUAGUUUUUCUUAUUUUUUCGGUUAGUUUGUUAGUAUUACUCAGUUAAGUUUUUAGCCCGGAUUUGAGCCACUGCCAGUGUUGACACCAACUCCUACAGAGUGUGCCACUGAUUGGUGGUGGGCUAGCUUUCAUUUUCUGGGCAACUAUGAUAAUGAUUCUUCAACAUGUAGGCUACGGAAUACUAGGGAUGAUAUCUUGGGAGAAAUCCUUUUAAGUCUAUUUGAAUUUCUGCAGGGGCAACACUUUGGUUUCAGCAGUUUCUUAAAAGUCAGCGGUGACACUUUAACAUCAACUUCAAUGAACCGGAAAGUCACAUCUGGGACACGCUCCAAAUUCAAAUCUUGUAGCAAAUCCUAAACCCUCGCGGGUCAUCCACGGUCUCACCACCGAUCGCUUUGUUUAUACUAGCAGAAAACCUAUUGUACGUAUCCUCAGUUAGAAAAGUCAGCAUAUCGCUAAAGUCCAUAAUCAUGUUACCAAAUUCAAUGUGAUACAGGUUGUUCAAAAACGAACGAUUGUGAAUAUGAUUGUAUGCCGCGCUCAUCCCACCAACACGUCGAACAAAUGAAUGUGGUAUAAAGUUGAAAAAUCGUUCUUUACAAGAGGAGUUGAACAACAUUUGGCCCCGAGACAUUAGCACGAUCACCAAAAUAAAUUUAAAUUUGCAUGUUUUAUUUGAGGCACGUGGCGUCAAACAAUACGAAAACUUUCCUUUAGUGACUGAUUUUAAUUGGUUGAUUAGAGAAACCGAGCCACCUCA